rnacentral:rRNA from 1 species
AGUAACGCGUGGGUAACCUGCCAUAUACAGGGGGAUAACAGCGAGAAAUUGCUGCUAAAACCGCAUAAGCGCACGGAGUCGCAUGACUCAGUGUGAAAAACUCCGGUGGUAUAUGAUGGACCCGCGUCUGAUUAGCCAGUUGGCAGGGUAACGGCCUACCAAAGCGACGAUCAGUAGCCGGCCUGAGAGGGUGGACGGCCACAUUGGGACUGAGACACGGCCCAAACUCCUACGGAAGGCAGCAG